UAUUAUUAUUAUUUAUAUUAUGUUGAAAUAAAAAUAAAGUAUCUAUUAUUUUUUUAAGAUAAGUGAAUUUGAUGGUAGAUAUAUAUUCAGAAUUUUAAGUUCAAUACUUAGUUACUUUUAAUGUCAAAUAACUGUAAAAAUAGGGAUGCAAAUGCAUCCGGAUUGGUGGAGCUUCCGUUCCGAUCCGCCUCAAAUGGGGCGGUAAGUGGGAACAAAAAAUAUAGAAAUAUAUAAUCCGCUCUGAAUUCGUCCCGAUCCGCCAAGUAAAUAGAACGGGAGGUGGGAUAUCUUUUUCUUCCUUCAAUCCGCUCCCGAUCUGUCAAAAAUUCGUCAAAAUUCGUUCUCGUCCCGAUCCUCCCCGAAUGGGACGGUAAGUGGAAGUUAAAAAUAAAAUAAAAAAUAAUUCAUCCCAAAUCCGUCUCGUCUCGACAAGAAAUAGAGUGGGAUGUGGUGGAACCCUUUCUCUCUAAGAUCCGUCCUGUUUGUAUUCCUAUGUAAAAACAAA
rnacentral:lncRNA from 1 species